UACGAAGGGGGCUAGCGUUGUUCGGAAUCACUGGGCGUAAAGCGCACGUAGGCGGAUUGUUAAGUCGGGGGGUGAAAUCCUGAGGCUCAACCUCAGAACUGCCUCCGAUACUGGCAAUCUCGAGUUCGGAAGAGGUUGGUGGAACAGCUAGUGUAGAGGUGAAAUUCGUAGAUAUUAGCUAGAACACCAGUGGCGAAGGCGGCCAACUGGUCCGACACUGACGCUGAGGUGCGAAAGCGUGGGGAGCAACAGG
rnacentral:rRNA from 1 species